GAUGAACGCUGACAGAAUGCUUAACACAUGCAAGUCGACUUGAAGCAAUUUCGGUUGUGGAAAGUGGCGGACGGGUGAGUAACGCGUAAAGAACUUGCCCUUCAGUCUGGGACAACCAUUGGAAACGAUGGCUAAUACCGGAUAUUAUGGAACUCUCGCAUGGGAGGAUCAUGAAAGCUAUAUGCGCUGAAGGAGAGCUUUGCGUUCCAUUAGCUAGUUGGUGAGGUAACGGCUCACCAAGGCGACGAUGGAUAGCCGGCCUGAGAGGGUGAUCGGCCACAAGGGGACUGAGACACGGCCCUUACUCCUACGGGAGGCAGCAGUGGGGAAUAUUGGACAAUGGACCAAAAGUCUGAUCCAGCAAUUCUGUGUGCACGAUGAAGGUUUUCGGAUCGUAAAGUGCUUUCAGUUGGGAAGAAGAAAGUGACGGUACCAACAGAAGAAGCGACGGCUAAAUACGUGCCAGCAGCCGCGGUAAUACGUAUGUCGCAAGCGUUAUCCGGAUUUAUUGGGCGUAAAGCGCGUCUAGGCGGGUUCAUAAGUCUGAUGUUAAAAUGCGGGGCUCAACUCCGUAUUGCGUUGGAAACUGUGAACCUAGAGUAUCAGAGAGGUGGGCGGAACUACAAGUGUAGAGGUGAAAUUCGUAGAUAUUUGUAGGAAUGCCGAUGGAGAAGUCAGCUCACUGGAUGAAUACUGACGCUAAAGCGCGAAAGCGUGGGUAGCAAACAGG
rnacentral:rRNA from 1 species